GAUGAACGCUGGCGGCGUGCCUAAUACAUGCAAGUCGAGCGAACAGAUGAGGAGCUUGCUCCUCUGACGUUAGCGGCGGACGGGUGAGUAACACGUGGAUAACCUACCUAUAAGACUGGGAUAACUUCGGGAAACCGGAGCUAAUACCGGAUAAUAUAUUGAACCGCAUGGUUCAAUAGUGAAAGACGGUUUUGCUUUCACUUAUAGAUGGAUCCGCGCCGCAUUAGCUAGUUGGUAAAGUAACGGCUUACCAAGGCGACGAUGCGUAGCCGACCUGAGAGGGUGAUCGGCCCCACUGGAACUGAGACACGGUCCAGACUCCUACGGGAGGCAGCAGUAGGGAAUCUUCCGGAAUGGGCGAAAGCGUGACGGAGCAACACCGCGUGAGUGAUGAAGGUCUUCGGCUCGUAAAACUCUGUUAUUAGGGAAGAACAAAUGUGUAAGUAGCUAUGCACGUCUUGACGGUACCUAAUCAGAAAGCCACGGCUAACUGCGUG
rnacentral:rRNA from 1 species